AGAAUGAAUUUCUGUGCUAUUUUAGGCAAGACCUGUAUGCACUCAAAGAUUAUGUAAAACCGAAGAUACAGAUCCAGUUACAAAUGCAGUUUUGCAAUUGGUCUUGGAUGCAGCCUAGAGAAACAAACUGGAUUCCAACAUGAAAGGUUUGGAGGUGUGUUUCAGUCAUUUACAGAAGGAAGAAGCACCUGAGUGGAAAAGUGACUCUUCCAAGAUGGUGCAAGGAGUCCUCCUGGCUGGGAGAAACCCCCAUGUCUUUCAGUUCUGUGCUCUAACCUCAGGAAUCCUUCCCUGGACAGGCUAGGUGCUCCAUGCUGAGGAAAGACUAGUGCACAUGCUUUUGACAUUUAUGUUAAAAUAAAUAUUGUAUAAAGUGACAAAUUAUUCAGAAUCAGGAGAGAAAAAUUUCUCCUUCUUGUUCCCCAGAGGUUAUUUUUUGUGCGUGUGUGUCUUUCCAAAUCACUGACUUUUACUUCCAUUUAUAUUCACAUGCUUAUAGACUUUAUUCUUGUGUCAUCCCCUGACUGUGGCCAUGUGACAGCCUAGUGAUAGGGAGAAACCCUAAAGGUUUUCUUACUAAACUGCUGCAAACCAUUUAAUAGAUUGGAAUAAGUGGCUAACCUUCCACUUUCUUAUGUAAGAUGAUGAACAUAGAUUAUUUAUAGAGGCUGCUGUCUCUAAAUUUGUUUACUGUCACAUGGAGUGUGUGUCUGUCUUUCACGUGUCUCUGUCAAACUCCUUAGAAAAAAAUAAAUCUACUACCAAAUGGAAAGAGCCCACUGGUCUUGUUGUGUGUUAUAGUUGACAAGGAUGAAAUAUGACAUACUUAUAAUAAAACUAAUUGGAAUGAGUAAUGUGUAUAUAUAUAUAAUUAUCAUGCUCAUAUGUUGACAUCUAACUCUUGCCAAAGGAAAUAAUUAAAUAACAAAUUACUGUAAUGUAUCUUAAGGCUUUAUUCCAGCAUUUUCUAAUAAUCCUUAUUGUUCCCAGGACAAGAAUUAUUUAAAAUGGGUGGCCAGAAUAUCCUUUCGAAAGGGAGAAGCAGUCAUGCAAAUUCAAAUUUACUUUCCCCUGUGUAUUUGCUCUAACUGAUCUUUGUGUGAAAGAAGUGCAGAGAAGUAAAAAUCCUCCUACCCUGAGCCAGGCAUAAGCAGCCAGGAGUACAAGACCCCUCCAGUGUGCUCUCCUCAUCUUCUCAUCUUUCUGAGAAAAUAGAGACUUACACUCCAUACUGGAACAUGGAUCUGCAGGGUUCUGCUGGACUGUGCUGCAGUGUGUCACUUGCCAAGGUUUCCACAGCUCCUGGGAGCGGCCCUUCUUGCUCCAGCCAAGCCCAGGAGCAAGGGAAGCUGGAGGCCAAGCACUGCUCUUUCUUGUGCACUGGUCCUCAUGUUCCAUGGGUGCUGUGGCCCUGUGCUUAUCAGUGUGCUCAGCUUGUCAGGGGACAGUGCUAUUUGAAUGGCAGGCUUUAAAUCACAAGUGAUGGGAAGAGUCCUUACCCUGACAGUGUUUCUGAAAAUGCCUGAUGAUGUUCCUGAUUUAUAUACCAGACACCCCAUCACCUCUUAGUAUGCAUCUGCUGCCGAGGAUGUGUUGUUCCAGCUGCAAGUAGGCAAGGGGAGAGCCUUCCAGAAGAAAGGGAAAUUGAAUCUUUAAGCAGAACAAAGCCAAGUGCAAUGCUCUUACAGAGACUUCUGCUCCCCCUGACUCCUGUCUGAUCUCCCUGAUCACAAGAUGGAACAGAAGAAAAAACAUGAGUAGAGAAAAAGGACCAUGGAAAGGCCUGUUAUGGGGGGAAAAGGAUUUGUGUUUCUGAUUAAAUCCAUGAUAUUUUAAGACUCCAAGACUAACCAGUCUUGUGGUGUGGCAUGAGGUCAGACUCCUCCAUUCAACUUUAUCCCUUCCCCAGGGGUUAGACAGACAUAAAUCUGUCUAAGGUGUAGAUGACUGGCUGUUCACUAGCCCUAAGACAUAUAAUAACAACAUUCAGCUCUUAUUGGCAAAUCCAACAAGGUAAGGUCUAUGAUAUUGAAAAAAGGAAAAAAAAUAGAAGAACAUUUCUGGAAAAAAUAGGCUUGUGCUAAGAGAAAAUCUGAGAAGGAAAAAGUAAACAGUGUUACAAAAAACAUAAGCCCAGCCAGAAGGAAUUAAUGCUAAGGUUCCUGCAAAAAAAUAUCUGAUUGCUUUUCCCUGCAAUGACCAAUUCAAACGUGAAGCUUGGAAAGAAUGAAAAAUAGGAAGGGAAGGCAGUUUGAGGCUAGAAAACCUGGUGAAAGGAGGAAGAUCCCAGAUGGCAAAAAAUGUUCAUCAUCUCAAGCUCACUGCCUGGACUGGUCUGUCACUCAGCAAAUGAGAAGAAUGAGCAAACUUUUCCUCACCUCUGACACAGGCUAGAGAAACCUUUAUAUUCCCAUCCAUUCUGAUUUAAGUUUCCCAUUACUUGACAAGAGACAACAGUAUAGUUGUGUUGGGGAUUUUUUUGAAUGUCAGUAGAAAAAAAUCUGUAGGAAAUAGAAUGAUAAAAUCUAACACUGUACUUAUCUUAUGGAUGUGUUAUUGGUCCUUUCAGCUGUUCUUAGGUAUGCAGGUGUUUUAGUUGAUGUUUGUACAAAAAUGAAUGAACCAUCACAUGGUCAAAUGCAAAACUGUAUCUGGCAUUAAGAAAUAAAUUAUAAUUGUGCAUCACCAGCUAUCAAUGAUCUUCAGGAAAUGACAAUUGCUAUCAGUGAAAACUUGUCCUAGGCUUUGUAGUUGGCCAUGCGAACCCUGAAGGAACCAUUACAGGCAGACUCAUCAGCAAAUCCUUCUUUCUUUAAACUACAGACAGAAUACGUUGACAGUGAAACUUAAUUGCCAAGAAUUUAUUUGAUUUAGAAUUACUGAACCAAAUAUGUUGUCACAUCAUCUUUCUUGUUUAUUUGGGGCCAUUAAUCAUGCUACAAACCUAAGACUUAGCGAGAACAGUUCUGGUGGGUUUUUUAAUGUGUAUAGAUUUUGAGCUAUAGCUAUUUCCUCAUUCUUCUCUCCUGAUGUGACAGUAAUAUUUUCCUCUCUGUCUCCCACUGUCAAGCCUAUUGUGUAAAUAGAUGUACAUAUACAAGUCACUAAGUAGGACAUUAAGUAGCCAUAUGAAGUUAUAGUAACUAUUUGUUUGAAUAGCAAUAUAAGCCUGAAAUAAUGUAAUUAAAAUGUCAUAGUUGUCUAUUUCUUUGUCAGUGGCAGAGCAUGCCUUUAGAAGGGAAAAUCUGUCAGAGAAAAUGAGUAUAAAGACAUCGUCUCUGCAGAGUAUGAAGAUAAAUGUGUGACUAUAAAUGUUUGCUAGCUGGACUGAGCAGUCUGACAGCUGCAGGAUACUUGAAGUAACCCCUGAGUACCUCUUGGAGUUCAAGCCUGAAAUCUUAAGGGUUAUAUCCAGAUAAGAACUCCUGCAUCUGUGGAGAAUCCUGGCCCAUUAGGGUGGUCUGAGGAGCUGACAACAGCAAGGAAGUCCUGAAAAACCACCUCUGAUGUUUUUGAAGAUGGUAGCUGAAAUUAAAUUGUCUCAGUUGCCAUUUGCCAUUGUAGUUGGGAUUCUCAUUCACAUCCAGCACUAAUGCAAAACUAACUCCAGGCAAGAUUUAAAAUAAACUCUUCAUUUGAAAUAAAGACUAUUAAUAAUCCCUGUGAUGUGACAAAUUAUAUAAGUUACAAUGAGGAUUUUUGAAGUCUGCAGUGAUAGUGAAUAGUUUGAUUUCCAAUUUUCCCUGUAAUGUGCAUUGUAUGCCAUUUAAUGUGAGAGAACUGUGCUUUGGAGUCACAUUGUUAUCUAAGUAGUCUGACAUUUAUCAGAUGUUUUUUCAAAGGGACAAAAAAAGAGAACAGCAAAGAGAUGGGAAAGUCAGUGCAAGCUCAAGUCAGGGUCUUUUAAAGUGUUAUCUUUAAUUUAGUGUUUUUUAGGUAAUAUAUAAAUAUUGUCUGAGAAGCUCAGUCUAUUGUUUAACAAGUUAAUAUUUUGUCUUUGCCCAUUAGCAAAUAUUUGACUCAUACAAUUCAAAUCAUUAAAAGUGUGCUUCAAGCAUGAGCACGUGUGGAAUUAAUUUUUGUCUGGUGUCCUUAUCAUGUGGUAGAUUUUCAAUGAUUAGGAGACAUUGAAUGAGUCACUUCAUAAUGCAAGGUCAAAUGAGGAUGAUCUUGACCAGGGCUUUUACUGUCUUGAAGGGGAGGAGGUCACAGUACAGGUUUUUCUCCAUUAUUCUAUAAGUUUACCUUAAUUUUGACCUG